rnacentral:rRNA from 1 species
UACGGGGGGGGCAAGCGUUGUUCGGAAUUACUGGGCGUAAAGGGCUCGUAGGCGGUUCGGUAAGUCCGCUGUGAAAGUCGGGGGCUCAACCCUCGGAUGCCGGUGGAUACUGUCGGGCUUGAGUACGGAAGAGGCGAGUGGAAUUCCUGGUGUAGCGGUGAAAUGCGCAGAUAUCAGGAGGAACACCAAUUGCGAAGGCAGCUCGCUGGGACGUUACUGACGCUGAGACGCGAAAGCGUGGGGAGCAAACAGG